rnacentral:rRNA from 1 species
CAAUAGCGUAUAUUAAAGUUGUUGCGGUUAAAAAGCUCGUAGUUGGAUUUCUGUCGGAGACGCGCGGUCCGCACUAUGUGCGUGUAUCUGUGUCGGCUCUGGCAUCCUCCUGGGGAACGGUGCUGCGCUUGAUUGCGUGGUCCGGUAUUCAGGACUUUUACUUUGAGGAAAUUAGAGUGUUUACGGCAGGCAAGCGCCUUGAAUAUAUUAGCAUGGAAUAAUAACAUAGGACUUUGGUUUCUAUUUUGUUUGGUUUCUUAGAACUAAGGUAAAUGAUUAAUAAGGGAGUAGUUGGGGGUCGAUUCGUAUUUAACUGUCAGAGGUGAAAUUCUUGGAUUGUUUAAAGACGGACUACUGCGAAAGCAUUUGUCCAA